GAUGAACGCUGGCGGCGUGCCUAAUACAUGCAAGUAGAACGCUGAAGGAAGGAGCUUGCUCUUUCCGGAUGAGUUGCGAACGGGUGAGUAACGCGUAGGUAACCUGCCUGGUAGCGGGGGAUAACUAUUGGAAACGAAAGCUAAUACCGCAUAACAACAGUUGUUGCAUGACAGCUGUUUAAAAGGUGCAAAUGCACCACUACCAGAUGGACCUGCGUUGUAUUAGCUAGUUGGUGAGGUAACGGCUCACCAAGGCGACGAUACAUAGCCGACCUGAGAGGGUGAUCGGCCACACUGGGACUGAGACACGGCCCAGACUCCUACGGGAGGCAGCAGUAGGGAAUCUUCGGCAAUGGACGGAAGUCUGACCGAGCAACGCCGCGUGAGUGAAGAAGGUUUUCGGAUCGUAAAGCUCUGUUGUAAGAGAAGAACGAGUGUGAGAGUGGAAAGUUCACACUGUGACGGUAUCUUACCAGAAAGGGACGGCUAACUACGUGC
rnacentral:rRNA from 1 species